UACGGAGGGUGCAAGCGUUAAUCGGAAUUACUGGGCGUAAAGCGCACGCAGGUGGCUGAGUCAGUCGAUUGUGAAAGCCCUGGGCUUAACCUGGGAAUUGCAGUCGAUACUACUCAGCUAGAGUAUGGGAGAGGGUAGUGGAAUUCCCGGUGUAGCGGUGAAAUGCGUAGAUAUCGGGAGGAACAUCAGUGGCGAAGGCGACUACCUGGCCUGUUUCUUGACGCUGAGGCGCGAAAGCUAGGGGAGCAAACGGG
rnacentral:rRNA from 1 species